GAUGAAGAACGUAGCGAAAUGCGAUAAGUAAUGUGAAUUGCAGAAUUCAGUGAAUCAUCGAAUCUUUGAACGCACAUUGCGCCCGCCAGCACUCUGGCGGGCAUGCCUGUUCGAGCGUCAUUUCAACCAUCAAGCCCCCAGGGGCUUGUGCUGGGGCCCUGCGGCUGCCCGCAGGCCCUGAAAACCAGUGGCGGGCUCGCUAGUCACACCGAGCGCAGUAGCACAUCUCGCUCAGGGCGUGCGGCGGGCUCCUGCCGUGAAACCCCCCACUGUAACCCCAAAGGUUGACCUCGGAUCAGGUAGGAAUACCCGCUGAACUUAAGCAUAUCAUAAGCGGAGGA
rnacentral:misc_RNA from 1 species